GUGGCUUUUCCCAUUUGCACAAGCUGUUUGUACAAAGUCAGCAGUAUCUUCAUUUGGUGCAGUCUGGCGUCCUAAGUCUUUCACCUUCUCAAGAGGUACUGCAGUAGGUCCGGAAUUGGCCUGUAAUGUGCCUGACUUUCCUGAUGUCAGUGUUCAAAUUCCUCAGAGUUGUGUUCCUGUUAAUCAAGAUUUCUGUAUUACAAUCAAGGUACAAGAAUUUCCAAGCAGUGAGCUAAAAGGAGAGGGAGGACUUGUUGGUCCAGUUCUUUACAUUUCAGGCUCUGAAAAAGUUACUUUCAUCACGCCUGUAACAAUUAGGAUUCCUCUCACCCUCUGUAAAGGGAAACAAGAGUUGGCAGAGUUAUGUCCUGGUGAACUUAGGAUAUUACACUGUGAGUCACUAGUUGAACCACAUGACUGGAAAGACAUCACAGAUGGACUGGAUGAACCGCCACUUCUUCUCGAUGGGAAAGUGCAAUUCAAAGUCAAGCAUUUCUCUAGAUUCCGUCCA